GAUCGACGCCCUGCCCCUGCAGCGCCCCGCGCCGCUGCAUCCUGCAGCUCGCCCCAUCCCCUUACUUGUCGUGUCUUGGGCCGUCGCGGCACUCUCAUCUUGCAUCGUCGCCUUAUUGUUGUUCUGGUGAGGCCAUAUCGUUCUUGUCCUACUCAUUUCCCUACCGGCAUCAAAUCCUUACUGUUGUUUAUACGUAUGUUUUUGUGUGAGUUGGGAGGUGGAGAAGAAAGGAACUCUAGUGCAUCACACACCUUGUGCUUGACGAAAUGUUUGAAUCAGAAUUUAUCAUCGCAUCCGCAGUUUGGUUUAAUCAUGAUUCUUCGGCACUUGCUGAGAAGGACAUUGCAGCGCUGUCUCCUGAGCUUCGUGCACAAGCAACUGAUCCGAAGAGCAGGCAAGGUCACAGGACCCUGGAUGGAAGUUUGGGAGGUGGCCAGACACUGUCACACUGCAAAGGACUUUGUUCACUGUAUUUUCUGUUUGAAGAUUCUUCCUUCUAGAAUUAAAAGAUUUAAACAGCACCUGUAGAUCGGUCCUGUGCAUUUUUAUUGUGAUCUAGCUAGCUAUCUGUAAAUGAUCUAGUUGUGAAUGAUGUUAUAAUUGUGAUGCUUUUGUGAAU